UGAGUACGAGCUGCUACGGCAGCGAAGUGGGUGAUGUCAAGCUUCCAAGAAAAGCCCUAUACCCGUUAAGGCAUGAUGGCCUGUACCCGAAACCGACACAGGUGGGGUGGUAGAGAAUACCGAGGGGCGCGAGAUAACUCUCUCUAAGGAACUCGGCAAAAUGGCCCCGUAACUUCGAGAAGGGGUGCCACCGCAAGGUGGUCGCAGUGAAGAGGCCCAGGCGACUGUUUACCAAAAACACAGGUCUCCGCCAAGUCGCAAGACAUGUAUGGGGGCUGACGCCUGCCCAGUGCCGGAAGGUUAAGGAAGCUGGUCAGCGUAAGCGAAGCUAGCGACUGAAGCCCCGGUGAACGGCGGCCGUAACCAUAACGGUCCUAAGGUAGCGAAAUUCCUUGUCGGGUAAGUUCCGACCCGCACGAAAGGCGUAACGAUCUGGGCGCUGUCUCGGAGAGAGGCUCGGCGAAAUAGAAUUGUCUGUGAAGAUGCGGACUACGUGCACCCGGACAGAAAGACCCUAUGAAGCUUUACUGUAGCUUGGUAUUGUGCUCGGGCUCGGAAUGCGCAGGAUAGGUGGGAGGCUAUGAACCAUUGCUUGUGGGUGAUGGUGAGCCACUGGUGAGAUACCACUCUUUCCGAGCUAGAGUUCUAACAGCCACCCGUUAUCCGGGGGCUGGACAGUAUCAGGUGGGCAGUUUGACUGGGGCGGUCGCCUCCUAAAAGGUAACGGAGGCGCGCAAAGGUUUGCUCAGGCUGGUUGGAAAUCAGCCGACGAGUGUAAAAGCAGAAGCAAGCUUGACUGUGAGACCUACAAGUCGAACAGGGAGGAAACUCGGCUUUAGUGAUCCGACGGUUCUGCGUGGAAGGGCCGUCGCUCAACGGAUAAAAGUUACUCUAGGAUAACAGGCUGAUCUCCCCCAAGAGUUCACAUCGACGGGGAGGUUUGGCACCUCGAUGUCGGCUCAUCGCAACCUGGGGCUGAAGUCGGUCCCAAGGGUUGGGCUGUUCGCCCAUUAAAGCGGUACGCGAGCUGGGUUCAGAACGUCGUGAGACAGUUCGGUCCAUAUCCUGUGCAUGCGCAGGAAUAUUGAGAGGAUUUCUCCCUAGUACGAGAGGACCGGGAGGAACGCACCUCUGGUGUACCAGUUAUCGUGCCAACGGUAAACGCUGGGUAGCCAUGUGCGGAGAGGAUAACCGCUGAAAGCAUCUAAGUGGGAAGCCCACCUCAAGAUGAGUAUUCCCAUGGGGUAACCCAGUAAGGUCACGGGAAGAACACCCGUUGAUAGGCUCUACGUGGAAGCGCAGUAAUGUGUGAAGCGGAGGAGUACUAAUAGACCGAGGGCUUU
rnacentral:rRNA from 1 species